UAGGGGGCAAGCGUUAUCCGGAUUUACUGGGUGUAAAGGGAGCGUAGACGGUAGUGCAAGUCUGAAGUGAAAGGCGGGGGCCCAACCCCCGGACUGCUUUGGAAACUGUGCAGCUGGAGUGCAGGAGAGGUAAGUGGAAUUCCUAGUGUAGCGGUGAAAUGUGUAGAUAUUAGGAGGAACACCAGUGGCGAAGGCGGCUUACUGGACUGUAACUGACGUUGAGGCUCGAAAGCGUGGGGAGCAAA
rnacentral:rRNA from 1 species